rnacentral:lncRNA from 1 species
CGUUGGGUAUGCCUCCCUGCCGUAGCUGAGUAAGCUCGGCGGUUAUAGCCCUAAGGCUCGCCCUCAACUCUUCAUUGUCGGCUAGGAGCUGACCGUUUAUGGCCGCUUGAUCUUGACCUACAUCUCCCAUAGUUUCUCUGUAAAGAUACUCAAAGAAAAAUUAGAGGCAAGAGGGAUUAAAUAGUAGCUUGGGGUCGGAUACUUGAGUAUCGACCAAGGCUAAAAGUAAAUGCUAAAAUUUAUGAAUAAAAUCGAAUCAAGUUGAAAAAGGAAAGAUGAAUAUUUUUUUUGAUUUUCGAAAAUUUGGAAAGAAAGUAAAACUUCUUUUAAUUUUUUUUUUUAAAAUGCAAAAUCGAAAACUUGGAGAACAAUCCGAAAAAUUUUUAAAAAAGGAAAGUAAAUAUUUUUUUUUUGAAUUGUGACGGCUAGGGUUCAAGCAACUGAGUUUCGCAGGAAACUUCAGCUCUGAUACCAAAAUGUUGUAGGCAUGGGUCGGAGGGUCGAACGGACGGACGGACGGAUGACCGAUCCGCGGUUCAGCCUUGCCUCGGAUGGAUGGUACUGGCCGGCUCGUCUCUUGCUUGUGGUCGUGCCUGAAACAGAUAUGAACUUUCAGCUAGUUUUC